rnacentral:lncRNA from 1 species
CAGAGACAGCAUCUUAUAUGGGGUUCCUGCCAGCUGUCCUCCCAUUGCAAGAUGGUGAGAUGGAGGCUCAGAGAAGGCAAGGUAUUUACCUAAGGUCACACAGCUAGUCAAUAACAGAGCAAGUCUUCAAAGGACAACUAUAACUCCUCCACACAGUGGGGUUGCAAUCCUUGAUCCCACCUCCCAGGAGAUCUUUUCUACUGUAACCCUACCCACCAAGGUCAAUCCUUGAGACUGGCUCUCCUCUGGCCUGCAGGAAGAACUUAACCAUUGGAGGUGUGGGAUGGGGAGCUUGAAAAAUACUGAAUUCAAUUCUUCCCAUUGUACAGAUGGAGACACUGAAGCCAGGAAGGGAGAAAGGAUCAGUCCACACUGCCCGUUUCUUCCAUGUCAUUGAGUAGGAUGCAAAGAUCAGUUCUACUAGCCUCUCUGGAGAUUAUGGGGACCAAAGAGGACUUCAUUUCCAUUUGGGAGAAGGGUAAAAGGAAAGAGAGUGGGGUACUGCAGCAGGAAGGAUGGAGGAUCCAUAUCAAGGGGGAACUUCCGGUGUGA